rnacentral:rRNA from 1 species
AUUGAACGCUGGCGGCAGGCCUAACACAUGCAAGUCGAGCGGAUGAAGGGAGCUUGCUCCUGGCUUCAGCUGCGGACGGGUGAGUAAUGAAUAGGUAUCUGACUGAUCGUGGGGGAUAGCGUCAGUUAACGGGAGCUAAUACCGUAUACGUUAUGAGGGUGAACGUGGUGGAUCUUCAGUGCUAACGCUAUUAGCUGAGCCUAGGUCGGAUUAGCUAGUUGGUAGGGUAAAGGCCUACCAAGGCGACGAUCCGUAACUGGUCUGAGAGGAUGAUCAGUCACACUGGAACUGAGACACGGUCCAGACUCCUACGGGAGGCAGCAGUGGGGAAUAUUGGACAAUGGGCGAAAGCCUGAUGCAGCCAUGCCGCGUGAGUGAAGAAGGUCUUCGGAUUGUAAAGCUCUGUAAGUUGGGAAGAAGGACAGUAAGUGAAUACCUGGCUGUUUUGACGUUACCAACAGAGUAAGCACCGGCUAACUUCGUG